UUACUUCCCUCAAUAACGAUAUAAAAACCUUUUAGAUUCAUUUUCGAUAAUGUCGAUAUAGAAUAAUUAGGUACAGCAGUCCAUAUCACCUCUGUGACCCAGCAGGAACGUGCGGAGAAGUGACAAUAUGCACGUGGAGAGGUAUACGCCCACUAAAAACCACUUAGCACCUCGAGUGAUGGAGUCGCCAAUAUUAACCACGAACAAUGAGUGAUGUAGGUGAAAACAGUGGUAGUGAUGUAGGCUAAAACAGUGGUAGUGAUGUAGGUGAAAACAGUGGCAGUGAUGUAGGUGAAAACAGUGGUAGUGAUGUAGGUGAAAACAGUGGUAGUGAUGUAGGUGAAAACAGUGGCAGUGAUGUAGAUGAAAACAGUGGUAGUGAUGUAGGUGAAAACAGUGGUAGUGAUGUAGGUGAAAACAGUGGCAGUGAUGUAGGUGAAAACAGUGGUAGUGAUGUAGGUGAAACCAGUGGCAGUGAUGUAGGUGAAAACAGUGGUAGUGAUGUAGGUGAAAACAGUGGUAGUGAUGUAGGUGAAACCAGUGGCAGUGAUGUAGGUGAAAACAGUGGUAGUGAUGUAGGUGAAAACAGUGGUAGUGAUGUAGGUGAAACCAGUGGCAGUGAUGUAGGUGAAAACAGUAGCAGUGAUGUAGGUGAAACCAGUGGCAGUGAUGUAGGUGAAAACAGUAGCAGUGAUGUAGGUGAAAACAGUGGUAGUGAUGUAGGUGAAAACAGUGGUAGUGAUGUAGGUGAAAACAGUGGUAGUGAUGUAGGUGAAAACAGUGGUAGUGAUGUAGGUGAAAACAGUGGUAGUGAUGUAGGUGAAACCAGUGGCAGUGAUGUAGGUGAAAACAGUAGCAGUGAUGUAGGUGAAAACAGUGGUAGUGAUGUAGGUGAAAACAGUGGUAGUGAUGUAGAUGAAAACAGUGGUAGUGAUGUAGGUGAAAACAGUGGUAGUGAUGUAGGUGAAAACAGUGGUAGUGAUGUAGGUGAAAACAGUGGUAGUGAUGUAGGUGAAAACAGUGGUAGUGAUGUAGAUGAAAACAGUGGUAGUGAUGUAGGUGAAAACAGUGGUAGUGAUGUAGGUGAAAACAGUGGCAGUGAUGUAGGUGAAAACAGUGGUAGUGAUGUAGGUGAAAACAGUGGUAGUGAUGUAGGUGAAAACAGUGGUAGUGAUGUAGGUGAAAACAGUGGCAGUGAUGUAGGUGAAAACAGUGGUAGUGAUGUAGGUGAAAACAGUGGCAGUGAUGUAGGUGAAAACAGUGGUAGUGAUGUAGGUGAAAACAGUGGUAGUGAUGUAGGUGAAAACAGUGGCAGUGAUGUAGGUGAAAACAGUGGUAGUGAUGUAGGUGAAAACAGUGGCAGUGAUGUAGGUGAAAACAGUGGUAGUGAUGUAGGUGAAAACAGUGGUAGUGAUGUAGGUGAAAACAGUGGUAGUGAUGUAGGUGAAAACAGUGGUAGUGAUGUAGAUGAAAACAGUGGUAGUGAUGUUGGUGAAAACAGUGGCAGUGAUGUAGGUGAAAACAGUGGUAGUGAUGUAGAUGAAAACAGUGGUAGUGAUGUAGGUGAAAACAGUGGUAGUGAUGUAGGUGAAAACAGUGGUAGUGAUGUAGGUGAAAACAGUAGUAGUGAUGUAGAUGAAAACAGUGGUAGUGAUGUAGAUGAAAACAGUGGUAGUGAUAGCCAUAGAGAAGGAGCAGCUUCCAACAAAGAAAUGAUUGAUGAAAAGGGUUCAACUGAAGCUAUAGCAGAGGGGCUCAUUGACGCUCUCGCCUCCUGGGGACUCAGUCAAAGCAGACAGGUCUGUAUAACAAAGGAUAGUGGUGUGAACGUGGUGAAGGCUGCUCAAAUCAACAAAUGGACCCGACUACAAUGUUUUGGACAGUGUCUGCACUUGGCCAUUGGUAAGUAACCUAGUCAAUUGUGUAUAUUGAAGUGAUUGGUUAGAGUGAACUAAAUGUGAUUUUUUUCCUCCCAUCAACUGAUUAAGUUAGAUAUUAUAUUUGUACAUAACUAAAGGCAUUAUUGUGAUUUUUUAAAUGUAUUAAUAUCUCUUGAUUUCUCUUAGAGAGAGUGGGUAGAGACAAAUGGGUGGAUUGAGCAUUUGGAGUAUGUAAGAAAGUGGUAGGUGCCUUUUCCUAUUGGUGGAAAAAGAAGAGAGACCUGGCAGUUGCUCAAAAAGAACACAACCUACCCCAGAACAAGUUGGUGACAGAGUCGCCUACCAGGUGGGGAUCACGUAAAAAGAUGGUGCAAAGAGUCCUGGAGUAAGAGAAAGACAUUUCACAGCUCUUGUCCAGUGACAAGAAGACCUGGCACUGGUCACUUAUACAGAUAUAGAUAUAGAUGUUCUUGAGUCCAUCAACCAGGCAUUGACCCCACUCCUAGAAUUCACAGAUGCUCUGUCGGGUGAGUCUUAUGUCAGUGUGUCUUACCUAAAGCCAGUACUACACCUGUUCAAUAAAGAGGUCAUGAAACCUGAUGAUGGUGAAACAGAGCUCACCCAAACCAUCAAAACGAUAGUCAUAGACUAUCUGAAUGAGAAAUAUGAUGAUCUAGCCCAAGAUGACCUCCUGGACAUGGCCUCAAUGGUCGACCCUCGGUUUAAAACACAUUACAUCAAAGAGGAGAAGGUGGGCCACAUAAAAGCAAGAGCUGUCUCAGAAAUGGUCAAUGAGGGACAUGAAAACCCAAGCCCAGCACAGGGAGACGUUGCUGCUGCUUCACCACAACUGACAGUUAAAAAGAGAAAGUCACUGGGCAGAUUUUUCAAAAAUCCCUUCAGCCUCCUGAUGCUGACAGUGAAACCAAUCCACUGGACUGGUGGAAGAUCCACCCAAAGAACUUUCCCAAAGUCAGUCACAUGGCAAAGCGCUACCUGUGCAUUCCCGCCCACCCCAACAUAGUGACCUACCAUAGGGCAGUUUUAAAGCCUGAGACCGUAGACAGACUUGUCUUUCUUGCUUGUAACUUGUAAGACAACAACUACCCCAACAUAAACUGUGAUGUGCCAUUAGGCUCAACUACCCCAACAUAAACUGUGAUGUGCCAUUAGGCUCAACUACCCCAACAUAAACUGUGAUGUGCCAUUAGGCUCAACUACCCCAACAUAAACUGUGAUGUGCCAUUAGGCUCAACUUCCCCAACAUAAACUGUGAUGUGCCAUUAGGCUCAACUACCCCAACAUAAACUGUGAUGUGCCAUUAGGCUCAACUACCCCAACAUAAACUGUGAUGUGCCAUUAGGCUCAACUACCCCAACAUAAACUGUGAUGUGCCAUUAGGCUCAACUACCCCAACAUAAACUGUGAUGUGCCAUUAGGCUCAACUACCCCAACAUAAACUGUGAUGUGCCAUUAGGCUCAACUACCCCAACAUAAACUGUGAUGUGCCAUUAGGCUCAACUACCCCAACAUAAACUGUGAUGUGCCAUUAGGCUCAACUACCCCAACAUAAACUGUGAUGUGCCAUUAGGCUCAACUACCCCAACAUAAACUGUGAUGUGCCAUUAGGCUCAACUACCCCAACAUAAACGGUGAUGUGCCAUUAGGCUCAACUACCCCAACAUAAACUGUGAUGUGCCAUUAGGCUCAACUACCCCAACAUAAACUGUGAUGUGCCAUUAGGCUCAACUACGCCAACAUAAACGGUGAUGUGCCAUUAGGCUCAACUACUCCAACAUAAACUGUGAUGUGCCAUUAGGCUCAACUACCCCAACAUAAACUGUGAUGUGCCAUUAGGCUCAACUACCCCAACAUAAACUGUGAUGUGCCAUUAGCUAACAGUUCUAAUGCAUAUUGACUUGCUCUAUUUAUUUAUUUAUUUCUUGCUCAUGACUUGUAAGGGUUUACAGCUUAAACAAAAGUGGAGUUAAAAUGUUAUCUGUGAGUUCUACUUCUGACAUUAAACAAGAAACAUUAAAGCUUUUGGUUUGUUCAGGCAUUCUUGAGUCUGAAGCAGAUAUGCAUCUUUUUAAACAUUAUUUGAUUAAUAUCGUGAUAAUUAUCGUUAUCGAUUGGAAAAAAAAAAAUAUAUAUAUAUAUAUAUAUAUACACAGAUUGGAAUCAUUAAAACUAGUUUUUCAACCACUCACACAUUUCUUGGGAUAUUAUACAAAAGUGAAAUAAACAAAAAUGAUCAGUAAACAUUACACUCACAGAAGUUCCAAAAGAAUAAAGACAUUACAGAUAUCUCACAUAAAGGAGGAGUGGAAAUAAUGUAAAGCAACAUGUUUCUGAGUGCUCUCUGUAGGGAGAUGUUAGUGAAAGAGGUCUGGUCUCUGAUAACUCAUAAUGACACUGUUUACUGCCUACACACACACACUGCUUCCUCUCCAUCACACACCUUGUAUUAUACCUUUUAUAGAGUCACGUAGUAAUAGGCCACUCCGAGCCUAACCAGGAUAGCUGUCUGCAUGGCUUUGUGUAGGCUACAUCUAUACGUGUCUGCCCAUCUGAUUGUAUAGCUAUGGUGUUAAGGGUGAAUCCAUCCCAUGGGGAUUAUUGUUCCCUUCACUUCAUUUCCUGUACUGGUUCUGGGGAAGUUUUCAGCAUGCUGUGUAUUGACUGAUUGGCUUCUGUGUGUUUCAGACAUUAGCACAGUUGGUAGAGCAUGGCGCUUGUAACGCCAGGGUAGUGGGUUCGAUUCCCGGGACCACCCAUACGUAGAAUGUAUGCACACAUGACUGUAAGUCGCUUUGGAUAAAAGCGUCUGCUAAAUGGCAUAUAUACACACACUUUCAAAACACAUUUGUGUUUGAGUGUGUCUAUCUGUAAGUAAGUAUAUACUGUAGGUCUAAAACUAACUAGGCCACUAUGUGUGCCUAUGUAUUUAAACUAUGUGCUGACUGAGUGUGUGAGGGUUGAUGGCUAACUCUGCAGGGAGAGAUGGAGAGAGGGAAAAUGAGGGAGACAGAGCUUGUGAAAGCGAUGGAUAGCAAGAAAGAGGGAGGAGAGUGUGGAAGGUAGGAAAUGAGGAGGGAUGGUGGUGGGGUUGUUCUCUGUUUCACAGGGAGAUGCAGUUCAGUGGAAAUAUGAGAGUGAGAGAGAGCUGUAAAAGUCUGCUUUCUGGAAACACUUCAGUCUGGGGUAGCUGAGGUCGGGAUUGACCCUGGGGGGAUUUGCCCUAGGCCAUGUUAUCAUCAGUGUUGCAUCACAUGACCAUUGUAUCGCCCAUAAUGCCUGCCCUGCAAAAAAACACACAGACACACCCGUCCCCACACCCCAAUAUGUGUCUCAGUUUGAGCCUUAAUCUGUCUGUCAUGCCCAUACCAAGCCACCCUCAGGUAACAUCCAAUAUGUUAAUGUUGUUGUAGAGUAACAGGAGCUGUCUCUCAUUAGAUGUGUAGUGUAGUAUGAGGUGGUCGUAAUGUGAUGCUAGAUUCACUGUAGGUGAUUUGUCUUUAUAAAUACAAACCACAGGAGGUUGGUGGCACCUUAAUUGGGGAGAAUGGGCUUGUGUUAAUGACUGGAUCAGAAUCAGUGGAAUGGUAUCAAAUACAUCAAACUCCGUUUCCAGGUGUUUGAUGCCUUUCCAUUCGCUCCGUUCCAGACAUUAUUAUGAGUCAUCCUCCCCUCAGCAGCCUCCUGUGAUACACAGAUAUUACACACAUAUAAGCACACACGCACACUCACACACAUUGUGAUGUUAUUUUCAGGCCUCAGUCCUCAUUAUUUCCAUUCAGCGCUACUAGUGCUAGCAGGCCUUUGAGUCACACUGAAUCUGUUUUGCUUGAACGGAAGAUCAACUAUGAGUAGCAUUUUGAUUCUGAGUGUUGCUGUUUUUAACUGAACUUCCUUCCAUUGUGGUGUCUGUGACGUCAUACAGGCUUCCUUAUAGACGUGAGCGUUUUAGGACAUCACAGUUGAAUUCACUAAAUCACCGUGGAACAAUGGGCAGCAGUGGAGCGGAGCUAAUCUGAACAGUGAACAUAGUAGCUAACUGAUAUCACUGUUAUUCGCUGUUGUGAGACCGUAGCCAAGAAUACAGGAAGUCUUGUGCUAACCUGUAGCCCUGUACAGUUUAGCACAGUCCCCCUCCAAGGCUAUUCUCUCCCUGUUGGUAAACUGGGUUGUAUGGAGGUACUGAGCUUGGGAGAGAGACACCUAGUGGCACUAGUAUACAUCUGCAGGUGAUAUCUGUCUCUUCUUCCUAUUUCUUUCUCUCUCUCCCUCU